AGGCCACUGCUAUCGGAGUUCGAUUAAGCCAUGCGAGUCGAGAGGUGUAAGACCUCGGCAUACUGCUCAGUAACACGUGGACAACCUACCCUGAAGAGGGGGAUAACCCCGGGAAACUGGGGAUAAUACCCCAUAGACUAUGGAUGCUGGAAUGCUUUGUAGUCGAAAGGUCCGCCGCCGUAGGAUGGGUCUGCGGCCGAUUAGGUUGUUGUUGGGGUAACGGCCCAACGAGCCUGUAAUCGGUACGGGUUGUGGGAGCAAGAGCCCGGAGAUGGAUUCUGAGACACGAAUCCAGGCCCUACGGGGCGCAGCAGGCGCGAAAACUUUACAAUGCGGGAAACCGUGAUAGGGGAACUCCGAGUGCCCGUUAAAUCGGGCUGUCCACCAGUUUAAAUAACUGGUGAAGAAAGGGCCGGGCAAGACCGGUGCCAGCCGCCGCGGUAAUACCGGCGGCUCGAGUGGUGGCCACUAUUACUGGGCUUAAAGCGUUCGUAGCUGGUUUGUUAAGUCUCUGGGGAAAUCUUCCGGCUUAACCGGAAGGCGUCUCAGGGAUACUGGCAGACUAGGGACCGGGAGAGGUGAGGGGUACUCCAGGGGUAGGAGUGAAAUCCUGUAAUCCUUGGGGGACCACCUGUGGCGAAGGCGCCUCACCAGAACGGCUCCGACAGUGAGGGACGAAAGCUGGGGGAGCAAACCGGAUUAGAUACCCGGGUAGUCCCAGCUGUAAACGAUGCGCGUUAGGUGUAUCGGUGACCACGAGUCACCGAGGUGCCGAAGAGAAAUCGUGAAACGUGCCGCCUGGGAAGUACGGUCGCAAGGCUGAAACUCAA
rnacentral:rRNA from 1 species